GACGAACGCUGGCGGCGUGCCUAAUACAUGCAAGUUGAGCGAUGAAGAUUGGUGCUUGCACCAAUUUGAAGAGCAGCGAACGGGUGAGUAACGCGUGGGGAAUCUGCCUUUGAGCGGGGGACAACAUUUGGAAACGAAUGCUAAUACCGCAUAAUAACUUUAAACAUAAGUUUUAAGUUUGAAAGAUGCAAUUGCAUCACUCAAAGAUGAUCCCGCGUUGUAUUAGCUAGUUGGUGAGGUAAAGGCUCACCAAGGCGAUGAUACAUAGCCGACCUGAGAGGGUGAUCGGCCACAUUGGGACUGAGACACGGCCCAAACUCCUACGGGAGGCAGCAGUAGGGAAUCUUCGGCAAUGGACGAAAGUCUGACCGAGCAACGCCGCGUGAGUGAAGAAGGUUUUCGGAUCGUAAAACUCUGUUGGUAGAGAAGAACGUUGGUGAGAGUGGAAAGCUCAUCAAGUGACGGUAACUACCCAGAAAAGGACGGCUAACUACGU
rnacentral:rRNA from 1 species